UUUCCCUGAUUGCGAAGCUGCUCUUAAACGCAUCGUUGGGUGUUUACAAAACUUUCCGUUUUCUUUUUUUUUCUUUGAAGGUUGUGGCACAGAUGAUCGGUUCCGUUUAAAGCUUCGUGUGAAGUUUCCACACAUAAGAGGAUAUAAUCAGAUGUGGAUGUGAAUUGAGCAGCAAUUGAGUGUGAUGAUAGAGAGGAGGGAGUCCCUCCCUCUAAAACCACUCUGUGUGGGGAACAUGAGAGCCAGACCAAAGCUCAGAGGAAUCAACCUGGACCUGAACCUGAUCCAAGCUGUGUGUCAUUAAAGAGCGACAACUCCAAGGGUUUUAUUACUUAUUUUAAAGAAGGAAGAUGUUCUGCUGUAGAGAGGUAAUCUAUUUAUACUGUGCUCUGACAAAAUACUUGUCUCCUUCUUGAUUUUUUUUUUUUUUGUAUUU